UACGUAGGGUGCAAGCGUUAAUCGGAAUUACUGGGCGUAAAGCGUGCGCAGGCGGCUUUGCAAGACAGAUGUGAAAUCCCCGGGCUUAACCUGGGAACUGCAUUUGUGACUGCAUGGCUGGAGUGCGGCAGAGGGGGAUGGAAUUCCGCGUGUAGCAGUGAAAUGCGUAGAUAUGCGGAGGAACACCGAUGGCGAAGGCAAUCCCCUGGGCCUGCACUGACGCUCAUGCACGAAAGCGUGGGGAGCAAAAGGG
rnacentral:rRNA from 1 species